GUUUAUCCUUCUUGGAAUCAGUGUCAUGAAUGUUUUCCCCGGGGUCAGUUCGAGAGUCUGCUUCAACGUGCGGUUCUCUGAUUACAGGGGUUCAUGCAAGUUCUGACUCCACAGACUCAUGUUCUUGUCCUCAAGGCUUCCUUCUUCCGCCUCUGUUUUUGUGUCACCCCUGACGCCACUCUUUUCCCUCUGCCUCUGUCUCAUGUCAGCCCCGAGGUCUCAUCCUGGCCAACUGCGCUCGGGAACAGAAGCGGAGGACCUGCGUCAGUCAGCCCGAACCUGUCCUUCUCCACCGGACACUCGCCAAAAGCAAGUUGUAUUCACAGUUUUACGAUUUUUUAAAACAUGGAUUUCAUGGUCGUUGGUGCUGGGUUACAAGAAAGAGCUCAGUGGACUAGGAGAGAAAGUGAUGAAAAUGGUGGGACAGGACCAUCAAGUGAAACUCAUGCCAGCAGGAGCUGCCAUAACUCUCAGCGUACCCUGAGACUCGGAUGAAUUGGGAAAUGCGAUAUGCAGUCAUGAAGCAGAGGGGACCCAUCAAUGGAAACAGAAGGAAAGACACCUCACUCUAAAAUGUCUGGAACAGAAUUACUGAUUCCCCAGCGCCCACCCGGCCUGAGCCGCCCUCUAGUCUCACCUUUCAGCACAGCAGCGCCCGCCUCGUGCUCAGAUCUGGGACUUGCGGCUGUGUGUGGCCUCUUUUCUGUAAACCCCACAUCCAGUCGACCAGAGAGCCCUCGGGCUCUUCACCUGAAUCCCACCCCCCUCAUGGUGGCCACGGGAAGGGCUGUGUGAGCCACAUCUUUCGUCUCUGGGACAGUCGUGACUGCUCCCAGGGAGUCCCCACCCUGCCUCGUAUGGUCCUUUCUCCCCCUAAACGCCCACCUACCUGAACGCUCUCCCCAGACUGUCACACGCUGCCUCCUGCAUCUCUCAUCUCUCGCCUCAAGUGUACUUCCUCGAAGAGGUCCCCUCCUGGACCAGGCAAAGUGACACGAGAAUUCCCUCCCCCUCCCCCCCGCUGCUCAUUACCCCAUUGCUUGGUUUAGUUUUCUGCAGAAUAGUCAUGAAUUCCUUAUCUAAUUGGAACUUAUUUCUCAUGCUCUACUUACUGUCUGCUUAAAUUUAAGCUUUUCCUCCAUUCUUCUUGAUCUCAGUCUCCGUGUUGGGGGGUGGGGCAUCAUUAAGCACUCACUUAGACGGGCUUCAGGCUGAGCUGUUCUGUCCAAGAUGGAUUUCUUACACCUCGUCUUCCUUCAAAGCCUCAUGGCUACAGUCGAGUGCUCAAGAUCUGGCAGGAUGAUGACUUGGUCUGGUGAGGCGGUGGGAAGAGGAAAUCCCCUGCUGGCUGUGCUGCCUGUUCACCGGGGCCGGGAAGAGUUGCCGCCAGCCUCCCCAGUUCCACCUGCAACUCGGGGAAGGAAGCAUUCGUUCUCCGGAAUAACACAGAUGAUGUUUACCAAAAUUGGGUUGCUGACCCCAGUACAUAGCUCUGCUCCUGCCACCCGACUACGCUUCCUCUGCUUGGACUUGACCUCCCGGGAGCAAGGCUGGCACAACAGUGAGGGCACCACCAGUGUGGAGUCCCUGGAGCCAUGCCCUCAGAUUGGAAAAAGCCUCAGGGAACGGCUGGCGACAGUGGACGGAGUCUCUCCUGGCUUCUUGGUCCUGCACCUCUGCGUCUCCCAGUUCCCCUGCAGUGAAAAGGCCUUGAGAGCUGUUGUGGGCAGUCCCUCCUGCUGGUUGUCAGGCACGAGGAGCAGCCCGAGUUCUUGCAGGAGGCAGGAACAGCCUUUGAAGUGGGAGAGCUGACGACAGCGUUUCAGGUCCCCCAGUUUUCUACCAUUAAAGCCACUGGCAAAUCAGCCCAUGGUUGUGGAUUGAAGUUUUAUUGCAAAAUAAUUGACACCUGUCACUGUGUAAGUUGAAGGCACCAAGCAUGAUGAUUUUAUUUACGUACAUCGUGAAAUGAUUCCCACAGUAGAUUCAACCAACAUCCAUCAUCUCAUGCAGACACAAUAAGAAGAGAAGAAAGAAAAAAGAAGAAAGGAAAAUAUUUUUCUCCUUUGAUGAGGACUCUUAGGAUCCACUCGUCGAGCUUUCCCGUGUGUCGCACAGCAGCGCUGACCUGGGUCGUCGUGUGGCACAUUCCGACCCGGGACGUAGUGUCUGUAACAGGAAGUCUGUACCUUUGCCCACCUGCCUCCACGUCCCUCCCCACCCUCUGCUCUGGUGACCACAAGUCGGAUCUCUUUCUCUAUGAGUUUCGUUGGUUUUUUUAGAUCCCAUCUGUGAGUGAGGUCAUACGGUAUUUGUCUUUCUCUCUGUAUUUCUUUCUAAAUCAAAUCCUAUCUCCUUUUAUCUUUCAGAGAUUUCUCUAAUAUUUGCUGAUCACAUUCUUUUUCAUUUGUCAUUACAUCAUAAAUUUAUUCUUGUUUUAUUGAACCUUUCCUAUCAUUUCAAGGAUGUGGUAGUAGGAGGAGUCAAGAAUAGGCGAGCUAAGUCGGCCCUUUUAAGAUCAGAUCCAAACCACUCUGGACUUCAGGCCAAUGAGGAGUUCCCAGAUUAUUCCUUCUGAUUGGCCCAGAAUUUGUGUUGAGACUUUUAGGUUCUGAACAAGUUAAAAGUCGAUUCCUAUGAAGAAGGCUAUCAUUGCUAUCAUUGUCUUUUUUUCUUUUAACAAAUUUCAGGAUUUUAUUUAAGUUUAUUUCGAAAAUAAAUCUAUUACCCUUAUCCUCUACUCUCUGAAAAGUUUCAUAGAAUAUUAAUUAUAUGUGUCAAUCAACUUAGAAUACUUAGUUUUAUUCUCUAUAUAUUUUUCCUCACAACUCUAUAGUAGAAAAGAAAUAAAGCUUAAUAUCUUAUAUCCUUCUUGUUACUCUCUGUUACAUUUUAAGAAUCUGAUUAAUAAAAUUUCAAUACAUUCAAUUCUUUUGAUGUCUAGACCACUAGGUCUGGGAGUUGCCUGGCCCGGCCGUCGGCGCCUCCCCUCCUGAGCAUGAGCAGCUCUGACAGACGGACCAGACCUCGUCUCCUGUCCUCACUCUUCUCACAAAGACUUUUCAAGGUCAUGGUUUUGCGUGUCCCAGGACCAUGCAGGGUCAGAGUCCAGGAAGUGGUUCAAAAAGGAUGGAGGCGUUAAGAUAAAAUAUCUGUGGUUUGAAGGCCUGCUCGAGUCUAAUCUUUAGGAACAUGUAACCUCUUCACAUUUUAAAGUAACUGGGCUUUUCAUGUAUUACCCUUCAUAUGCAGUCAUGUGCCGCAUAACAUUUUGGUCAACGACAGACUGUAUUCAACGGUGGUCCCAUAAGAUUAGCACCAUAGAGCCCAGAUGUGUGGGAGUUUAUACCAUCUAGGCUCAUGUAUGUACACGCUACAAUGUACACACAAGGACAAAAUCACCUGACGAUGGGUUUCCCAGAACGUGUCCCCAUCAAGUGGCGCAUGACUGUAUUUACAUUUGUUACAUUCUUGAGAUCAUAAUUUUGUACCAUUUUGAAAAUUGUCAUUUUCAUUCUUUUACUGAACAUAUUCCAUGUUUUUAUAAAGUCCUGUAUCUGUGGGCAAUAACUAAAUAAAGG
ensembl:lncRNA